CAGGCUUUGGCCCCAGUGUGUGUCCCCGGUCUCUUGCCGGGGCGCUGUCUGCAGACUCACUGCAGAGCGCAGGCCUCGGGGAGAGAGCGCUCAGGGGGCUGGGCCCUGAUUCUCGGGACAGCCCCCUUCAGUCCCCACCCAGGUAGGGACGUUGGGUUAAUAGGCACUUAGACGCAGGACCCCUGCCUGAGAAGAGGGAGGGGGCACCGAUCACCUCUGAGUCAGGGACAGGGCCACACUUGGGCCUGGUGAGUUCCAGGAGGCUGGCCAGCCUAGUGGCCUCCCUUGCAUCCCCUCCCUGCCUCCAGCACUCUCUCCGUUUAUUUCCCAGCUAUUCUCCAGAAAGGGUUGAUUUCUGCGCAGGGACUGUGGCGUCCAGGAGAAUCUGCAGACCCAGUGGACUGGAUUUUCGGAGCCAGCCCAGACUGAGGUCCAUUCGGCUGUGAACUGGGUAUAUAUGAAAAGAACACACAUCCACAGAGAAGACCCGCACAGAUGCUGAAAAGCAUGGCCCUGUGGGAAUCCAGCAUGCCCAUCUGCCCUGGGCGCAUGUAGCAGGCGCUGGUGUCACCCUCCUGCCAACAGUCCCUGGACGGGCGGUCUCAGGCUUGUACCCGCCUCACUGGUCACCAUCCCCAACAGAAGGAGAAGGCAGCUGGUUAGAGGUUGACUUGGAUUAUCUCAGAAAUAGGGGCUAUUAACCCCACUUCAUAUAUGUGCAGAGCGUAGCUCGGAUGGGGCGGGGGACCCGCCCUCUGACCACAGCUAGGAAAUGUCAUAGCUGGGGUUUAGACCUACGCUCUAGAGUCACCGAAACUGAGCAAGCAAGGAGCGAAUGAACCCAGAGCAAGGUCCAAGCCUGUAGCAGCCCUUUCCUGGGCAGCUGCUGUGUGCCAAGCCCUCUGAGCCUGGGUGGGGGGGGGGGGGUCCGGGAAUGAGACCCGGCCCUUGGUCUGUAGGCAUGCACCAGCUGGAAUCCCUGAACUUGGAGGUCGGUGGUACUGCGGUAGCUGCCAUCGCCAGCUGUGUGCCCUUGGGCCCACUUCCCGCCCCCUCUUGAGUCUUCUCUAAAGUGGGAAUGCCUCCUAUCCCCAGGGGAUACUGUCCUGCUGCAGG
rnacentral:lncRNA from 1 species